AGUGAACGCUGGCGGUAGGCCUAACACAUGCAAGUCGAACGGCAGCACAGUAAGAGCUUGCUCUUACGGGUGGCGAGUGGCGGACGGGUGAGGAAUACAUCGGAAUCUACUUUUUCGUGGGGGAUAACGUAGGGAAACUUACGCUAAUACCGCAUACGACCUACGGGUGAAAGCAGGGGAUCUUCGGACCUUGCGCGAUUGAAUGAGCCGAUGUCGGAUUAGCUAGUUGGCGGGGUAAAGGCCCACCAAGGCGACGAUCCGUAGCUGGUCUGAGAGGAUGAUCAGCCACACUGGAACUGAGACACGGUCCAGACUCCUGCGGGAGGCAGCAGUGGGGAAAUUUGGACAAUGGGCGCAAGCCUGAUCCAGCCAUACCGCGUGGGUGAAGAAGGCCUUCGGGUUGUAAAGCCCUUUUGUUGGGAAAGAAAAGCAGCAGGUUAAUACCCCGCUGUUCUGACGGUACCCAAAGAAUAAGCACCGGCUAACUUCGUG
rnacentral:rRNA from 1 species